GAUGAACGCUGGCGGCGUGCCUAAUACAUGCAAGUCGAGCGAACGGACGAGAAGCUUGCUUCUCUGAUGUUAGCGGCGGACGGGUGAGUAACACGUGGAUAACCUACCUAUAAGACUGGGAUAACUUCGGGAAACCGGAGCUAAUACCGGAUAAUAUUUUGAACCGCAUGGUUCAAAAGUGAAAGACGGUCUUGCUGUCACUUAUAGAUGGAUCCGCGCUGCAUUAGCUAGUUGGUAAGGUAACGGCUUACCAAGGCAACGAUGCAUAGCCGACCUGAGAGGGUGAUCGGCCACACUGGAACUGAGACACGGUCCAGACUCCUACGGGAGGCAGCAGUAGGGAAUCUUCCGCAAUGGGCGAAAGCCUGACGGAGCAACGCCGCGUGAGUGAUGAAGGUCUUCGGAUCGUAAAACUCUGUUAUUAGGGAAGAACAUAUGUGUAAGUAACUGUGCACAUCUUGACGGUACCUAAUCAGAAAGCCACGGCUAACUACGUGCCAGCAGCCGCGGUAAUACGUAGGUGGCAAGCGUUAUCCGGAAUUAUUGGGCGUAAAGCGCGCGUAGGCGGUUUUUUAAGUCUGAUGUGAAAGCCCACGGCUCAACCGUGGAGGGUCAUUGGAAACUGGAAAACUUGAGUGCAGAAGAGGAAAGUGGAAUUCCAUGUGUAGCGGUGAAAUGCGCAGAGAUAUGGAGGAACACCAGUGGCGAAGGCGACUUUCUGGUCUGUAACUGACGCUGAUGUGCGAAAGCGUGGGGAUCAAACAGGAUUAGAUACCCUGGUAGUCCACGCCGUAAACGAUGAGUGCUAAGUGUUAGGGGGUUUCCGCCCCUUAGUGCUGCAGCUAACGCAUUAAGCACUCCGCCUGGGGAGUACGACCGCAAGGUUGAAACUCAAAGGAAUUGACGGGGACCCGCACAAGCGGUGGAGCAUGUGGUUUAAUUCGAAGCAACGCGAAGAACCUUACCAAAUCUUGACAUCCUUUGACAACUCUAGAGAUAGAGCCUUCCCCUUCGGGGGACAAAGUGACAGGUGGCGCAUGGUUGUCGUCAGCUCGUGUCGUGAGAUGUUGGGUUAAGUCCCGCAACGAGCGCAACCCUUAAGCUUAGUUGCCAUCAUUAAGUUGGGCACUCUAAGUUGACUGCCGGUGACAAACCGGAGGAAGGUGGGGAUGACGUCAAAUCAUCAUGCCCCUUAUGAUUUGGGCUACACACGUGCUACAAUGGACAAUACAAAGGGCAGCGAAACCGCGAGGUCAAGCAAAUCCCAUAAAGUUGUUCUCAGUUCGGAUUGUAGUCUGCAACUCGACUACAUGAAGCUGGAAUCGCUAGUAAUCGUAGAUCAGCAUGCUACGGUGAAUACGUUCCCGGGUCU
rnacentral:rRNA from 1 species